CCCUUAGAUGUUCUGGGCCGCACGCGCGCUACACUGAUGCAUUCAACGAGUUUCUUCCUGGUCCGAGAGGAAUGGGUAACCUUUUGAAAGUGCAUCGUGAUAGGGAUAGACUAUUGCAAUUAUUGGUCUUCAACGAGGAAUUCCUAGUAGACGUAGUUCAUCAGACUGCAUCGAUUACGUCCCUGCCCUUUGUACACACCGCCCGUCGCUCCUACCGAUUGAAUGCUCAGGUGAGCCAUUCGGACUUUCAUCAUGCUGGUUUCCAGUUUUGAUGAAGGAAAGUCUUGCGAACCUUAUCAUUUAGAGGAAGGAGAUGUCGUAACA
rnacentral:rRNA from 1 species